AGCGAAAUUCCUUGUCGGGUAAGUUCCGACCUGCACGAAUGGCGUAACGACUUGGGCACUGUCUCAACCAGGGACUCGGCGAAAUUGCAAUGUGAGUAAAGAUGCUCACUACUCGCGACAGGACGGAAAGACCCCGGGACCUUUACUGCAGCUUGACAUUGGAGUCUGGUAUGUCAUGUGCAGGAUAGGUGGGAGGCUUUGAAGCGGCGGCGCUAGCUGUCGUGGAGCCAACCUUGAAAUACCACCCUUGCCAUAUUGGGCUUCUAACUUCGAUCCGUUAUCCGGAUCAGGGACAGUGUCUGGCGGGCAGUUUCACUGGGGCGGUGGCCUCCUAAAAAGUAACGGAGGCGCCCAAAGGUUCCCUCAGCCUGGUUGGCAAUCAGGCGUCGAGUGCAAUGGCACAAGGGAGCUUGACUGCGAGACCUACAAGUCGAGCAGGUGCGAAAGCAGGGCAUAGUGAUCCGGCGGUUGCGUGUGGAAGCGCCGUGGCUCAUCGGCUAAAAGGUACUCCGGGGAUAACAGGCUGAUACCGCCCAAGAGUUCAUAUCGACGGCGGUGUUUGGCACCUCGAUGUCGGCUCAUCACAUCCUGGGGCUGAAGCCGGUCCCAAGGGUACGGCUG
rnacentral:rRNA from 1 species